UAAUCUGCCCUUAUGUGGAGGAUACCCUCGGGAAACUGAGAAUAAUACUCCAUAGGUCUAGGAUGCUGGAAUGCAUCUAGACUCAAAACUCCGGUGCCUAAGGAUGAGUCUGCGGACAAUCAGGUUGUAGUCAGGGUAAUGACCUGACUAGCCUACGACGGAUACGGGUUGUGAGAGCAAUAACCCGGAGAUGAUAUCUGAGACACGAUAUCAGGCCCUACGGGGCGCAGCAGGCGCGAAAACUUCACACUGUGCGAAAGCACGAUGAGGGAAUCCCAAGUGCUUGCUCGUAAGAGUAAGCUGUUUCUUUGUUUAAAAUGCAUUGAGAGUAAGGGCUGGGUAAGACGGGUGCCAGCCGCCGCGGUAAUACCUGCAGCUCAAGUGGUGGCCGCUAUUAUUGGGCCUAAAACGUCCGUAGCCGGUUUAAUAAAUGCCUGGGUAAAUCGUGUAGCUCAACUAUACGAAUUCCGGGUAGACUGUUAAGCUUGAGACCGGGAGAAGUUAGAGGUACUCCUGGGGUAGAGGUGAAAUUCUGUAAUCCUAGGGGGACCACCAGUGGCGAAGGCGUCUGACUAGAACGGGUCUGACGGUGAGGGACGAAGCCCUGGGGCGCAAACCGGAUUAGAUACCCGGGUAGUCCAGGGUGUAAACGCUGCUUGCUUGAUGUUGGUUGGGCUCCGAGCCC
rnacentral:rRNA from 1 species